CGUGCAACUCCGUGUAUUUUCAUGCAUUGCUCUUCCGGGUGGAAGGCCUCCGCCUCUCCCCCGCCAACCAGACCUGGCGAUGGGUGGGGUAGCAGACCCAGAGUUGACGGCAUAUUGGCAGGCUGCAGCCCGUGGCAAGUGCGCCGCAUCCAACCAAUCCUGCCAGCUGGGCCCCCGCCCCGCUCUGCCCAUUGCAGCAAGACAUCUAGUCACACUGGCCAGCGCCACCCAGCAUGAGCCCUUGAGAAAUGCGUUCAUAAGCCCAGCAUCAUGGACCUGCCAGGCCGGCCAGGUGCGGAACCUGAGCAACGGCACUUUGCACAGGCUGGCCCUCAGGUGGGCACAGCGCCAGUCACUUCUCCGGGAGCAGCUGGGCCAGUCUUCUGCGGUAUGAUAACCGGGGCUUCUGGGAGGAAGCAUCUGUGAAGGCUUCAGCCGGGGAACUGUCUUUGCUGGCCACUGUCGCUCCGUGGGCACAGAAAAGGCCACGGCCAGCCUCCUGGGGCUGGUGUACAGCCACCUCGCUGCUCCUCUGGCUAGAGUCCUCCAUGCCUGGCACCUGUCCUCACCCAUUCUCGCUGCAGCUCAGAGAGGUGGAUGGUCCCACCCCGUGAAAGAUCGGGACACUGAGGAUUAGCAAGGGGACUCACAGGGGCUCGUGGCCGGAACUAAACUUGGGUAUCUGACUCUCAAACUUUGUCCCCUUCUGUUACACUUUCUGUUCCUGGGGACUCACCGCCGCCUGUCUCUCUUGGCUCCUCCCCAGCUGCUCCUCUGAGGCCCUUAUGUCAUGUGGGCAGCCAACAGCUGCUAGAGGCUUCCUCUGUGCCGGAAUGGGGUAGACUACAGAAGUGGCCACGGAUGCUUCCCCUCCCCCAUUCACACCUCCUUGACCUGUUACUUUGGGAGCCCUCUCAUCCUGCCUCUGAGCAUGGCCUCAUGACUUGUUUGGCUGAUGGGAUGUCAGCAAACGUGUGUAAGUAGAGGCUUGAGAAGCACGCCCCGUGGGACUGGUCCUUUCUUGCUGCUCUUGGAACUCUGCUCCCUUGUGAAGAAGCCCGGGCCAGCCUUCUGGAAAACCAGAGGCCCGUGGCCCAAUUGCAUCUGUUCCUCAUUUGACAGCCUGCCAACUGCCAGACAUAUACGUGUGGCAACCUGGACCAUCCAGCCAGCGGCUGCCCACCAGCUGACCACAGGCACGAGAGAGAGCCUGGGAGAGAUCAGUGGAAUCAGCUUAAACACGAGAACUGCCCAGCUGACCCACAAAAUCAUGCGCUAAAUAGACACGUGUUGUUUUAA